UGAUUUUCUAACCUUAGUUUUCAUAUUGCCUCUUAAUGUAAACAUGAUCUAUAUCUAAGGGCUUACACAUUAUUAUCGUUGCUGUAUUAGCAUCAAUGGGCCAUUUCCAUUCAGUUUCUACAAAUGGGAUCUCAUACCACCUCUCUGCCCCGAAUUCCCCCCUCCCCUCUCUCUCUCUCUCUGUGUGUGUAUAUGUGUGUGUGUGUGUGUCUGUCUCUCUGUUACACACACACCCCACACACUAGUGAAAACUGCAGGGUCAUUUGCUGCACCCUGGAGAUUACUUUGUGUUUGAGAGUCCAAAGAAAAACCCAUCAGCCGUCAAGGGUUUUAAUUAUUUAUUUUUAAUCACACAAGCAAUGCAUGACUAUGUUCUGGUUGUAAAAAAUUCACACAAUACAUCUGAAAUGAAAGUCUCCCCAAGGGAAUAAUUUUAAACAGCUCUGGUCCUCACCCACCAGCCCCCCGGUCUGUGGUGGGCCAGUGCUGGGAGACGUCAGUAGACCUGGUAAAGGUUUAGGGAAACACUGAGCUCUUGUAAUACAGGGAAGGCUAGGGAAGCAGGGAUCACCUGUGAAAUGAAAUGGGAGUAGUUAAUGGAACUUAUCCUUUAUGUUUAGGAGUUGUUGACUUUGCCAGGGAUGUGCUCUUCGAUUUUUGCAGUUUUCUUUUAAGGGAGUGAGGAAGAGGAGGCCUGGGCUCCUGUAUCUCUGUAGGGACUCACUCUUUUCUCUAAUGGGCUACCUGAAGACAGCAAGCAUCACAGGCAGACUCUCAGCCUUCUGCUAUACUUGCCCAUAGCAAGUGGUAAGAUUUUUGUCAAAUUCAUGUGUUUCUCACCAAUAUUCUAAUAUUGAGUAUUUCCUUCAUGACUUGAUAAGCCCCUGUACAAAUUUGCUAUGGGGCCAAAUGGAGAUGAAUGAAGAGUUUUAGUAAAGAAUUCAGAAAUGUAUUGAAUGAAAGAAAGAUCCAGAUAGAAAGUCUCUUGGAGACCACUGAUUUAGUUCUUCACUUUUUAGAAGAAGACAUGAAAGUCCAGAGAGGUUUGGUCCAAUACCCCAAGUUACAUAGGCAGAGUUGGGAGCACAGAGAAAACCAGAAUUCUCGUUUCAGACUCCCAGCCUGGUGUUUCUUCCAUUACGCCAACGUUGGAAUCCAGCCACCACUGUUAGCUACCUAGAAAACCUGGGCUGGUCUCAAUAACCCUGGGCCCCAGAUUUAUCAUCACUCUAUCUCCCUUACGGUAGCAUCGCUAAAAGCAUCCAAUAAAAUUGUGACUGUUAAGUACCAUGCAAAUAGCCAAGCAAUUUUCAAGCACACACAAAAAAAUGAACUUCUUUUCAGUUACUGGAAAGACACAUUCUUCAUUAGUUAGUCAUGUACAGUAGCGUUUUGCGAAGCAUCACCUAACUGGAUCAAAGAUUUUAGGAAUCUGACCCUGGAAGCUUUGCUAUUUUAUUUUGUUUUGCCUUUUAAAGUUUCUUAAAAAUUGGUGUUAUGUGAUCAUAGGACAUUAUUUUAAAUUCAUUUAGGUGUGAUAAUGGUGCUGUGGUUAUGUUGGCAGAUGUUAUUAAUUUGAGGAAUGCAUGCUGAAGUACUUCUGGGUUGUUUAGGGUUAUUAUUUAAGUGUUAUAUAUUAUGACAUCUGUAAUUUACCUUUCAAUGGUUCAGCAAUUAUAAACCCACGCAUAUGUGGGCACAUACAUAUAUGGCAAAACAUUAACAUUUUUUGAAUCUAGGUAUAUUACAUGUGUGAGUGUCAAAUAUACUAUUGUUCUAUUUUUCCAUAUAUUUGAAAAUUUUUAUAGUAAAGUGGCCUAUAAAAUAAAUUCUUCCAAUGACUCUGGUUCUCUCUAAUGUUUUGAGAACUACUGAUGUAGAGCUAUAGAACACGUGACCAAUGACAGUCUGUGAGUGGUCUCUCCACGUGACUGAUUAUGACAUGGGAUUGUCUAUGCUCCUGGUUCCAGAUUAAGAAGAAAACAAAAGAAAAUCUUUCAAAUUUCCUCCUUGUUGUCUCAUCAGAAUUGGAACCACUUUUCCUCUGAAAUAGUGGUAUAUGAGUGAGAGGAAGAGGUUGUUGGAAGAAUGAUUGGAGUCUGGUGUCAGGAAUCCCUUGCCCUUCAAAGAGACAGUGUGCUGCUACUGACUGCUUUCAUGAGCUGCAAUGUGGGUAAAACAUCUUCAGCUGGGUAGAUAGGAUAAGACUGUCAUUGACUGAUAUGCGCAACCUAAUUACUUCCUUAGUUACUUAAAGCUGGCUUCAUUUGUC